rnacentral:rRNA from 1 species
UUCCAGACUCCUACGGGAGGCAGCCGUGAGGAAUAUUGGUCAAUGGCCGAGCGGCUGAACCAGCCCCUUCUCGUGAGGGCUGCCGGCCCUACGGGUUUUCAAACUCUUUUUUCUGGGAGCAACGCGCGUCACGUGUUUCUCCUUGAGAGUCCCCGCAGAAAAAUCCUCUUCUAACUCCUUGCCCGCAGCCGCGUUCAUACGGAGGCUGCUCUCGUUAUCCGGAGUUAUUGGGUUUAAAGGGGGCGCAGGCGGAGUGGCAAGUCAGUGGGCAAAUUGCGGGGCCAAACCCCGUACUGCCGUUGAAACUGCCUCCCUUGAGUGCGCGAGAAGGAGGCGGAAUGCGUGGUGUAGCGGUGAAAUGCAUAGAUAGACCGCAGAACUCCGAUUGCGAAGGCAGCAUACCGGCGCGCAACUGACGCUCAUGCACGAAAGCGUGGGUAUCGAACAGGAUUAGAUACCCCCGUAGGU